UGCUUGCAUAGCUCAGAUGGAUAGAGCAACAGCCUUCUAAGCUGUCGGUCGUAGGUUCGAUUCCUGCUGCAAGUGU
rnacentral:tRNA from 1 species